CGGAGCCCAGCCCCCCCGCCCGCACUUCCGGGGGGUGGGAGCACCGCCCUUAAGGUGGCUCCGUGAAGUCCCCAUGGGACGAGCGAAAGUGGGCUUAAGUUUGGGGGCAGUCUUGGGAGAGUCGGCCCCCCACGUUACGAACGCUCCAAAGUUUGUCUCUCGGUCAAGUUCGGGAGCGGCGGUGCGCAUCGCUGUGCGGCUGCGCCCAGAAGCCUUGUGACUCGCAUUGCUGGAAAGGGGCGCUCAACUGUAUCCCCGCUGCACCUCACUUCCUCCCGUGGGACUGUGGGGGAACGUGUGCGGUACCUUGGAGGGCCACGUUUUAUAGGGAGUGUAUUUAGGGGGUGUCAGUCUGGGAACGAGCAUUUAGGGAAUCGAAACUCGGGGAACCUCUGUGACCGUCUGCUCCCCCUCCUGCCCCGGUACAGCGCACAGACAAGCGCGCGCGCAAACACACUCCUUCCGCCCUGCUUUGCUUCCCGGAAAACAAGUCCUGAGAGCGGACACGCGCCAAAAGUCACGCAGUAGGACCAGAAGUCCGAGUAGAAGCACGACUAAAAAAAACUCUCCACUCCCAGUCGGGUGGUGGGCCCAUAUCCAGGGCAGCCUCUAGGAAGCGCUAGACACAUUGAGAAAUGACAGGUGCUUUGGAGAUUUCAGGACCUGUGUUAAGUGCUGUGGGUAAAAUGAAGACUGCAUAAACGGACUUGGCAUUGAAAACUUGAAUUCAAGUCCUCAUUCAUUUCUUCUGUGCAGGCAUGAGACCCACCAGCAGGGCUCAUCUGAAGGGAUCAGAAGCACAUGUGUCUUCAUGAGGUGAAGGGACAGGGACAGUGUGCAAUUCAGUGCUAUGUCCUGCAUCUCUCUUGCUCCUGAGUGAGGCAGGGACUGCUCCAUGGAUCCUAGCCUUACUUCACCCAGGAGAGAGAGGGCCACGAUGAUGCUGGCAGCAUAUCCUCUUCCUAAGCCUUCCACCAUUUCCUCUCCCUCCUUCCUUCCUUUUUGUCAGGCCCCUUCUCCACGCCAGGUACUGUACAAAGUUGUGGCGAUGAAGUGAUCAGUAAAACAGGCAUGGAAUCUGCCUGCAUGUGCUUUCAUAUUGCCUGUAGCCUAAGUGCUUAACCUCGGAGUCAGAUCACCUGAGUCUGAUAGUUGACUCUGUCCUUUCUUCUCGAAAUAAACUUGGUCAAAUUCC